CCCUCCUCUCGUGUCUGUCCUCAGGCUUCCCUGGGGUUCCCUCUACUGGAAACUCCUGGCCCUCCUUUGUGGGCUUUUCUAAACUGAGUGCCUUGUGGGACUGCAACUCAGCCCCUUCUCCUCCCCAGGGAAGCUUCUCCAUGCUCAGGGUUCAUCGCCACCUCCAUGCCAAUAGCCCCUGAGGGAAACAGUUGGGUUGUGCACACCCCUGGGGCCUCCUGAAUUCUAGAACUGUGCCUCCAACGGCCAUCAACUGCUCCCAGAGGCAUGGGAGUCCAUGCUGCCUCACCUGGGCUGCAUGUCUCUCAAAGCUGCUUCUCCUCCACACUCCAGCUCAGUGAUGCACACCCUGCCCCAUUUCUAGGCAUGGGCAGGGGAGGCCUAGCAGAUGCUGGUUCUGCCACCAGAACUCCCCCAAGUCCAUCCCUACUGCUGUGACUUUGACUAGGAAGGGCACCACCGAAGGGCCACAGUCGGAUCAAUGCAGAGACAUGGCUGGCACCCGGCAGGCCAAAGCGGAGGAUGCCAGCACCUCUGGCAAAGGGCCAGGAGCACUGUCAGAUCAGAGUCUCGAGGACACUAAGAAGCCAAAUUAUGGCAGCAGAGGAGGAAGCUGGUGUUGGCGGUGGAUGCUCUUGGUUCUUUUCACAAGCGAAAUACUGCACAGAAAGUAUACACUGUUUUCUUUCUCUACAAAGCAAUGGCCUAAAACGAGCCGAGCACUGAGUACCGUCCCUACUCAGCAACGACCCGUAUCACUCCCAGCGAGAGAAGCUCAUGAUGAAGCAAAUAAUGGGAAGUGGGCCUCAGACUCCACCCCAGCCAAUUCUUCCAGAGCCGAGAAAUGAAUGAGCGCCCUUCAUGCUCUCAGCCCACGGGGUUUGUUCCAGCACGGGCUCAACACAACGCAUUAAAGUGCAGCGUUUGGCAGGAAAACACCAGUUUUGUCGUUGCUUGGAAUUUCUUUUAUGACUUCAUUUAUUUGUGGAAAAUUCAUGUUUGCAGACCACAAUCACUUAGGAAACAAAGCAAACUGGGGGAGAGUCAGUUCACCCACACCUGAGCAUCGGUUACCUCCACCAGGGAUGAGCAACCCUGCAGAGGGAUGGAACCCAGGCCUCAGGCUCUGCAGCCAUGCAGCCUCUGCCACAGCUGGGGUGCAGCUGGAUCCGAGACACAGGCAUGGCUGCACAUCAACCACCGAGGCUGGCUGUGGCCCUGCUGCAGGGCCUUCGUGUACAGUACUCCGACCUCGCCCUGUGGGAGCCACCUCCCAGAAGGACCCCAAGUGCCUCCAUGCCAUUCGUCCCUUCAGUGUCCCCAGUCUUCCUGGAGCUGCAGUCCCCUGCAUGACACGUGCCCACCAGGCAUUCCCAGGUGGUGUUAUGGUUUAGACCUCAAAUGCCUCCCCAAAGGUUCAUGUGGUCAGAGGUGUGGCCUUUGGAAGG